GCUGCCUUCACUGAGCCACCUCCAGGGUAACCACUGUGUGCUUUCCUGGGAAUGGCUCCUCUGCCAGGGAUGAUCAGUGACCAGAACACAGUUGUUCUGAACCAGUGGAAAUCAAGCUGAAGAUCUUUCUGGGGAGAAGUAUAGAAUGUAGAUUGCCAUCUUAGAAGAAAACAGCAUUACUUUCCUUUCUGCCUGGAAUGGACAGACAGAUCAUUAUUGCUGUAUAAUAGCAGGAUGAGCAUGUCCUGUUUUCAGCAAAACUGACAGGAAGCUAUUUUUAGAAAAUGAAAAUGAAAUGGAAAGCAACAACAGGCAGAAAAAUUUCAGCAUUGUGCCAGGCUCUGUACAGCCUGUGAAUUUUUACUUGAACAGAGAAGCCAAAGGGCAAAGCCGCUACUGACAUCUUGCAGACUUCAUUUAAAUCCUAAAUCAGCCUCUACUCUGUGACAGGAACAAAUUCUGAGACACCAAAAGAAAUUCACUCCUGGAAAAGUUUCACAGAAGAGCCUCGGGGCUCUUGUGAUAUUUAAUUCCUGCACCUGAACUUCUGUAUUCCUUUUUAUUCCUGAGACAUAACCAAGAACAAACGAGGUCCAGACCCAAUUUUGUAUCCUCUCUAUAUACACUCAUCUUUGCAGUGUUAUCCUGCUAAAGUUGGGAGCUUCUAAAGGAUAUGCUCUGUCUUGGCCUGUGCUCCCUAGCUCUGCCUGUCUGACGAGUCUGCAUGUACCUUAUUACGUACAGAUGGCUGCAAACUGUUUGGAAAUAGGUAAAUGAUGACUGAAAAGUCUUGCUGAAAAUCUACGGCUGUCUAAACACUGUUGGGAACAAGGCUGAAAGUGAACGCUUUUGAAUCCCAACAGGGCCUUUCCAAAGAAGAAAAUAACAUUGUGCAACUUUGUCCAGAUACCUUAUGAGGAGAGCAACUGCAUGGCUAGGAAAAUAAUUUGAAGCCUAUUGCAGAAUGAGAGAGCAAUUGUUUGUGGAAAUACGGAAGCACUGACAAUAAUAAUAAUAAAAAAACCCCUCAGAACAGAGAAAACAGACCUUAAAAAAAGCAGGAAGGAAAUUUACAUCUAUUAAAAAAAAAAGCGCAAAUAUCAGAACUCAGCUGGUCAGUUUAGAGAAGAAAGAAAGUCACAUCACAAACAAGUAAUUCAACCUUCAAGAUCUACCUGGAAGAUGUCAGCAGAGAACAGUAAAGAAAAUUACUUACAAAUUAUGCUACUUAGAAGAAUCACUAUGGAUUUUAGAAUAAAGAAUAAAGGCAG